AAGUAAAACAGCUGUAAGGGAUGUAAUAGUUUUUAUAUACGUAUCACUAAGUAGCAGCACAGUCCAGCUUCCGGACGGUUUAGAUAGCAUACACGCACAUGUUUAGAGGCUGAUUUCAGUAGUCAAAAUGGCGACCAUACUUGAGUGGUGUACUACCGAAAGCAGCGUUCUGUUGUGCAUCUUUUGUGGGCAGAAGGACUCAAUGCAAAGUAUAUUAAUAAAAAAAAGUUUACUGUUUACAGUGGGAAGUGUUUGUUGCAUAAAGAGGUACACAACUGGGUGGAAAACUUUUCACUGAUGAUGGAGAGGCAGAAACAGAGACAUGGAAGUGGCUGAGACAACAGUCAAAAGGCUUUUACUCAUAUGCUACAGGAUUCAACACACCAGUAAAGCAAUGGGACAAGUGUAUCAAUGUUGGUGGAGAAUAUGUAAAGAAAUAAAUGUUUUUUACAGUGCUGAUACUGAAGUCCACAAGCUUCAUGCCUCUAUACACUGUCACCAAAGGGACUACUAAUGGUACAGUCCAUCUGCUCUCCAAACAAGUAUGCCACAUUCUGCAUAAGCAACCUUAUGGAAGAAGAGUUCUUGAAUUUCCUGACAGGGUAUGAAUGCCAGAAGUGUGUUGAAGUUAGAAGCUGGAAACUUUAAAAUGUGAUUUCCAUAUGUUUGGACCACUCAAAGAAGAAAUG